GACGAACGCUGGCGGCGCGCCUAACACAUGCAAGUCGAACGAGCGAGAGAGAGCUUGCUUUCUCGAGCGAGUGGCGAACGGGUGAGUAACGCGUGAGGAACCUGCCUCAAAGAGGGGGACAACAGUUGGAAACGACUGCUAAAUACCGCAUAAGCCCACGACCCGGCAUCGGGUUGAGGGAAAAGGAGCAAUCCGCUUUGAGAUGGCCUCGCGUCCGAUUAGCUAGUUGGUGGGGUAACGGCCCACCAAGGCGACGAUCGGUAGCCGGACUGAGAGGUUGAACGGCCACAUUGGGACUGAGACACGGCCCAGACUCCUACGGGAGGCAGCAGUGGGGAAUAUUGCACAAUGGGGGAAACCCUGAUGCAGCGACGCCGCGUGGAGGAAGAAGGGUCUUCGGGAUUGGUAAACUCCUGUUGUUGAGGAAGAUAAUGACGGUACUCAACAAGGAAGUGACGGNUAACUACGUG
rnacentral:rRNA from 1 species